rnacentral:rRNA from 1 species
CCUACGGGAGGCUGCAGUGAGGAAUAUUGGUCAAUGGACGAGAGUCUGAACCAGCCAAGUAGCGUGAAGGAUGACUGCCCUAUGGGUUGUAAACUUCUUUUAUAUGGGAAUAAAAUGUUCCACGUGUGGGAUUUUGUAUGUACCAUAUGAAUAAGGAUCGGCUAACUCCGUGCCAGCAGCCGCGGUAAUUCGGAGGAUCCGAGCGUUAUCCGGAUUUAUUGGGGUUAAAGGGGGCGUAGGUGGAUUGUUAAGUCCGUUGGGAAAGUUUGCGGCUCAACCGUAAAAUGGCAGUUGAAACUGGCAGUCUUGAGUACAGUAGAGGUGGGCGGAAUUCGUGGUGUAGCGGUGAAAUGCUUAGAUAUCACGAAGAACUCCGAUUGCGAAGGCAGCUCACUGGACUGCAACUGACACUGAGGCUCGAAAGUGUGGGUAUCAAACAGGAUUAGAUACCCUAGUAGUC